rnacentral:lncRNA from 1 species
AUCCUAACCCCUGGGACCUUCCACAGUCCCAGGCUGCUCCCAGCCCAUCCAGCCUGGCCUUGGACACUUCCAGGGAUCCAGGGGCAGCCAGGGCUGCUCUGGGCACCUGUGCCAGGGCCUCAGCCGAUGCCAGUUUGUGCCUCACUCCCUCACAGCCGCCGCUCCUGGUGCCAGCCCGCGCUGCGGUUUGCCAGACACGAGGUGCUGGUUAGGGUCACAGCAACGUGGGGUGUCCUGGCUGCAAAGCUCUGCCGGGGAGGGAAGGAGGGCACAGGGAAGGAGGGCACAGGGAAGGAGGAAGGGUUGAGCGAAGAAGGGCAGCAGGAGGAAGAAGGGCAGUGAGAAGAAGGGCAGUGAGAAGAAGGAAGGGCACAGGGAAGAAAGAAGGGCAGAUGGAAGAUGGGCACUGGGAAGAAGGAAUGGCAGAGGGAAAGGCAGAGGGAAGAAGGAAGGGCAGCGGGCAGAGGGAAGAAGGAAGGGCAGCAGGAAGAAGAAGGGCAGAGGGAAGAAGGAAGGACAGAAGGAAGAAGGGCAGAGGGAAGAAAAAGGGAAGAAGAAGGGCAGAAGAAGGAAGUGCAGCGGGAAGAAGGGCACAGGGAAGGAGGGCGGAUGGAAGGAGGGCAGAGAACAGAAGGAAGAAGGGCAGAGGAAAGCAGUGCAGAGGGAAGAAGGGCACAGGGAAGGAGGGCAGAGAAUAGAAGGAAGCAGUGCAGAGGGAAGGAGGGCAGAGAACAUAAGGAAGCAGUGCAGAGGGAAGGAGGGCAGAGAACAGAGGGAUGCAGUGCACAGGGAAGGAGGGCAGAGAAUAGAAGGAAGCAGUGCAGAGGGAAGCAGUGCAGAGGGAAGGAGGGCACAGGGAAGGAGGGCAGAGAACAGAAGGAAGCAGUGCAGAGGGAAGGAGGGCACAGGGAAGGAGGGCAGAGAACAGAAGGAAGCAGGGCAGAGAACAGAAGGAAGCGGUGCAGAGGGAAGGAGGGCAGAGAAGAGAGGGAAGCGGUGCAGAGGGAAGCGGUGCACAGGGAAGGAGGGCAGAGAACAGAGGGAAGCAGUGCAGAGGGAAGCGGUGCAGAGGGAAGCAGUGCACAAGGAAGCGGUGCAGAGGGAAGGAGGGCAGAGAACAUAAGGAAGCGGUGCAGAGGGAAGGAGGGCAGAGAACAUAAGGAAGCGGUGCAGAGGGAAGCAGUGCAGAGGGAAGCGGUGCAGAGGGAAGCAGUGCAGAGGGAAGCGGUGCAGAGGGAAGGAGGGCGGAGAACAGAAGGAAGCGGUGCAGAGGGAAGCAGUGCAGAGGGAAGGAGGGCAGAGAACAGAAGGAAGCGGUGCAGAGGGAAGGAGGGCAGAGAACAGAGGGAAGCAGUGCAGAGGGAAGGAGGGCAGAGAACAGAAGGAAGCAGUGCAGAAGGAAGCGGUGCAGAGGGAAGCAGUGCAGAGGGAAGGAGGGCAGAGAACAGAACGAAGCAGUGCACAGGGAAGCGGUGCAGAGGGAAGCAGUGCAGAGGGAAGGAGGGCAGAGAACAGAGGGAAGCAGUGCACAGGGAAGGAGGGCAGAGAACAGAAGGAAGCGGUGCAGAGGGAAGCAGUGCACACGGAACCGGCGCAGAGCGCUCCGGGCUCGGGGGCCGCGGUCUCCACGGCAACGCGGGCC